ACGGGAGGCAGCAGUGGGGAAUAUUGCACAAUGGGGGAAACCCUGAUGCAGCGACGCCGCGUGAGUGAAGAAGUAUUUCGGUAUGUAAAGCUCUAUCAGCAGGGAAGAAAAUGACGGUACCUGACUAAGAAGCCCCGGCUAACUACGUGCCAGCAGCCGCGGUAAUACGUAGGGGGCAAGCGUUAUCCGGAUUUACUGGGUGUAAAGGGAGCGCAGACGGCAAGGCAAGUCUGAUGUGAAAGGUGGGGGCUCAACCCCCAAACUGCAUUGGAAACUGUCUGGCUAGAGUGCCGGAGAGGUAAGCGGAAUUCCUAGUGUAGCGGUGAAAUGCGUAGAUAUUAGGAGGAACACCAGUGGCGAAGGCGGCUUACUGGACGGUAACUGACGUUGAGGCUCGAAAGCGUGGGGAGCAAACAGGAUUAGAUACCCUGGUA
rnacentral:rRNA from 1 species